AUGAACGCUGGCGGCGUGCCUAAUACAUGCCAGUCGAGCGCACAGACGAGGAGCUUGCUCCUCUGACGUUAGCGGCGGACGGGUGAGUAACACGUGGAUAACCUACCUAUAAGACUGGGAUAACUUCGGGAAACCGGAGCUAAUACCGGAUAACAUGUUGAACCGCAUGGUUCAACAGUGAAAGACGGUCUUGCUGUCACUUAUAGAUGGAUCCGCGCCGCAUUAGCUAGUUGGUAAGGUAACGGCUUACCAAGGCAACGAUGCGUAGCCGACCUGAGAGGGUGAUCGGCCACACUGGAACUGAGACACGGUCCAGACUCCUACGGGAGGCAGCAGUAGGGAAUCUUCCGCAAUGGGCGAAAGCCUGACGGAGCAACGCCGCGUGAGUGAAGAAGGUCUUCGGAUCGUAAAACUCUGUUAUUAGGGAAGAACAAAUGUGUAAGUAACUAUGCACGUCUUGACGGUACCUAAUCAGAAAGCCACGGCUAACUACGUG
rnacentral:rRNA from 1 species